GACGAACCGUGCGAACGUUGUUCGGAAUCACUGGGCUUAAAGGGCGCGUAGGCGGCCGUCUAAGUCAAAAGGUGAAAUCCCUCGGCUCAACUGAGGAACUUGCCUUUGAAACUGGAUGCUUGAGGGCCGGGAGGGGGUACGCGGAAUUCCCAAGUGUAGCGGUGAAAUGCGUAGAUAUUGGGAGGAACACCAGUGGCGAAGGCGGCUACCUGGACCGGUUCUGACGCUGAUGCGCGAAAGCGUGGGUACGCAAACAGG
rnacentral:rRNA from 1 species